rnacentral:lncRNA from 10 species
AUUAUUUUGGCAUCUUAUAGUGAACUCUAAUUAGAUAUGAUUAAUCAUAUGAAUUAUUCCUCAAGGUAAAAUCUGUGAACUUGACCACAUUUGUCUUCUAUUAGAGAUUUCUCUCCUCUGUCGGUUAGUGAUUUCUGAGUUGACCAGGCAAGACUCUACCUUAAGGCUUACCAGAGUCUAAAGGUAUUACCCUCUUUUUAUUCCAAUGCAGAAACUAUGCUGCACUGGUAAUAAUUUAGGAAAUUAUCAAAUGGUGCCAAGAUGAUUUAAGAAGUUUUCUCCUGGUCUCUGUUCAGAGCCUGACUCCAUCCAUUGUGUAUGCACUGUCAAAUAAAGAUAGGCAAAAGCCUAAAGUUCAGAUAAUAUUUUGCUGAUAGAUAUUUCACUUCUGCAUGCUCUGGGGGAAGUCUUCUGUUGCUCCAUAUCUGCUCUCUUAUUACUAGCAAAAACAACUGUGAAUAUUCAGUUCAAUCCAUUUAAUAUCAAAACCGUGCAUUAAUUUUCUUUUCUUUUCUUUUUCUUUCUUUUUUGAGACGGAGUCUUCGCUUUGUCACCAGUCUGGAGUGCAGUGGCAUGAUCCCGGCUCACCGCAACCUCUGCCUCCCGGGUUCAAGUGAUUCUCCUGCCUCAGCCUCCUGAGCAGCUGGGACGACAGGUGCGCACCACCAUGCACAUCUAAUUUUUGUAUUUUUAGUAGAGAAGGGAUUUCGUCAUGUUGGCCAAGAUCUCUUGCCUUGUGACCCGCCAGCCUUGGUCUCCCAAAGUGCUGGGAUUACAGGCAUGAGCCACCACACCUGGCCACUUUAUUUUCAUAUUAAAAUUAUAUUCACAUGCCUAUUAUUAAAAAGUCAAAAAAUAACAUGUAGUUGAGGGUAUGGAGAAAAGGGAACACUUAGACACUGUUGGAGGGAAUGUAAAUUAGUUUCACCCCUAAGGAAAACACUAUGGAGAUUUCUCAAAGAACUGAAAAUAGAACUACCAUUUGACCCAGCAAUCCUAUUACUGGAUAUCUACCCAAAGGGAAAUAAAUCAUUUUAUCAAAAGACACCUGCACUUGUAUAUUUAGUAUAGCACUAUUCAUAAUUGCAAAGUUAUAGGUUCAACCUAAAUACCCAUCAAUGGUAGACUGGUGAAAAAGAAAAUGUAAUACACAUAUACCAUGGAAUACUACUCAGCCAUGAAUAAGAAUAAGAUCACGUCCUUUGCAGUAACAUGGAUGGGGCUGCAGUGAAAUAUCCUAAGUGAAAUAGAAGCAGAAAAUUAAAUACCACGUGUUCUCAUUAAUAAGGGGCAGCUAAACAAUGGGUAUGCAUGGACAUAAAGGUGGAAAUAACAGAUACUUGGGACUUUGAAAGGGAGAAGGGUGGGAGGGGAGAGGAUUGAAAAACUAGCUAUUGGAUACAAUGGUCACUCUUUGGGAGAUGGCUUCAGUAGAAACCCAAACCUCAGUAUUACACAAUAUCGCCCUGGAACAAACCUGUGCGUGAAACCCAAAUCUAAAAAUAAAAAAUAAACAAGGACACAUUAAAGACUUGAAAUAAAACAAAUCAAAACUAGACAGCUUCUCUUUCAAUCAGUCUUAUUUUGCCCUGAGUUUUUUGUCUUUGGUUUAUUGGGCCGGAGAACAAAUAAUCUAGCUGUACAACCAAAAUGAAUCACGGAGCCAAAACACAGUUACCCUGAAGCCUUCAUGGUGCUCAGCAUCUCUGCAGGGUUCCAGUACGGGUCCUGCUUGGCCACGGCUGAUCCCCUUCCUAGGCCAGGACAGCCACUGAAGUGACGCACUGCAAUGAGGGGAUAUGGAUGAUAAGUGCCAUCUUUAAUUAAUGAGAAACCUCACAUUUCCUUCUUAGAGGGCUAUCAUUUGGGACGCAGAGGGAGAAGACAGGACCGUCUCUGGCAAAAGCACACUGCCUUGUUGAUUGUGCAUUGUAGCAGUAAUGUACAAAUGCCAAAGGUAGGAGAUGUGGGCACAUGGCGAGCUCUAACUGGGACAAUCGGCCUCUCCUGGAGUCUCACAAAUACAGUGAGAUACUAGAAUGUGUGGUUAAUAUAAAAUCAAAUUCUGUGUUGAAAAUGUAGUUUCCUUCUUCUUAAAAACAUUAUGUUUCUGGAUUUGAUUUCUUCCUAAAACCACAAAAAUGAAGUGCCUGCCUUCGGCAAGAUUGCCUUACCUUAACGGAAGGAGAGAAGUGAAGCUAGGUGACAUUCGCUGAAAGGUUCAAUGAUCUAGGGCCCUUCUGCUGUGAUUGUGUCUGUCAGAUCCCAGCACCUCAAGAGCACAGUUCACUUUCUUUUGUAUAAGAAACGGGCACUGAUAACCACAGCAAAAAACCUGUAGUGUUUAAAAUCUGUAAGUAGGUGAGAAACAUUGAAGGUGAAGCAGCAUCAGACUUGUUGUCAUGGUUCGCUUUGUGUUGCUGUGAGGAGCCUAACAAUACUGUAGAACUUCUAGAUUCCUGAGUGACUAAGGUCGCCUCUUUUCAUUAAGAGAAUAGCCCAAAUCAGACUUUGUUUUGUGGUUUCCAUGAUGGAAAAUGAGAAAAAUGAAACAAGCUUUGAAUUAGUUGGAAAAAUAAUCUUCUCCCUUUAAAAUGUUUACUUUAUUCACAUAAUUAGAAAUGAAAAUGGGAAUUAGGUUAUCCAGUGAAGAGGAACCCAUAGCUUCUAUCUGUCAUGGAAUAAUUCCUAGUUAAUAUCAAAUAAUGGAUUUAAAAUAACAGAAACGUUUGACAGAAUGACAUUCAAUGACAGCAAAUUAUAAUGAUGAGAGAUAUGUGGAAAUUUUAAAGAUGUACAGGAUAGAGUAAGUUAAAAUGCAAGGUAAAUGGAAUGAGAACACUGUGAUUGUAACAAUUACAAAACAGUGCGUGCAUACGUUAAUAUCACAAAUUGAAAUUAUUAAAUUGGGAAACAUUUAUAUUUUAUUUUUAAUAUUAACUCUUAAUAUUCAGCUCAGUCUAUUUAAUACCAAAACCAUGCAUUAAUUACUUUUAAAUGUUAAAUACUUUAAUCAUAUUUCAUUUUUAUCAAUGCUGAUGAAUGUUCAGAGAAUGUUGACGUGAUUAGUUAAUGAAUUUUCAUUCAUAUAGUACUUCAGAUGCUUGAAAUGAAGGAAGCUACAGAAAAUGUAGAUGAGUUUUGUACCCCAGAAUAGAAAUUAGAUUUGUGGUUCCGCCAUUAGUCUCUGCAAAAGUUGGUUCUUCAUUUCACAAAACAUCAAUUUAGCCAUUUCCCAUACACAGAAUACGCUCACCUCUUCUUCAAAUGAGACAACACAAAGGUUAAUCUUGUCACUGCAUCUGGUUCAAAAUCAGGCUUUUCAGAGAUGCACUGUUCUCUCCACCAGAAUAAGGGAUUGAAUACCAACCAAAAUGGAGACAACUUUCUCUGCAGGAAAUCAAAUCAUUCUAUAUUUCCUAGCACUCCUGAAAGGGAGCCAAGGCAUGAUUCUUCUAGCUUAGAAGUCCAUUUCCAUAUCCAAAUUUCAAAGCAUAAUGAUACAGUUUAUGAAAUCAGAAUUACCUUGACUUUGGUUACAUUUUAUUUUGGGGUUGAAAUCAUUUUUUAAAAGUCAAUUAGGUGUGUAAAAUAUUUUUGAAAUCAGUUAAGUGGGGUAAAUUAGCAAAUCUUUAAAAUGGAGAGAAUAUAAGUUUUACAAGUGGUAAAAGUGCAUAUUGGGUUUUGCUAAAAGCAACAAAAUACAACGAGACCUAAUGAAAGUAAAAGCCCAAACAUGUAUUUCUCAACCCUAAUGUUAGAAAGAAACAGAAAAGAAACCUCUGCAGCUUGGCAAACAAAUGCUCCUUAAAGAGACUUGAGUCAAGACUCCUAUAAAUGCCCUGCUUCUCCUCAUAAAACCACUGUGAGCCACAAUAUUAGAAUAAACAACUGUGCCCAUUCCCUCUGAAUUUUGGGAAUUCGUCAAGUGUAAAGAUGGAACAAGCCAUUUCGUUUAUUUUUUCCUAGACAAGCAUGUGUGCAUUUUCUUCUUGGCCUCACAUGCUUUUUGGAAUUUUCAAAACCUGAGUUUUAGGAACAUAAAAUCUAAAACAGAUUUUCAUUUUCAUUAUUUAAACACUGAGCCAUUUAGACAACAGAGCCAUUCACUACUCUUAGCCUGGGUUAUGGUUUUGAAAAACUUCUUUGUCUCUGUUAAGGCUCAGGAAAUGUACCUUCUUUUUGAAUUUAUAGACACUCAAGUAUUCUAAUUGUUUUGGAAUGACCUAAAACAUUUUUUUCAAAGUCUCAGUAUUCUGUUUCUUGGUUAGGUUUUCUGUUAUUUGUAGACAUUACCUAGUUUUCGUUCAUCAAAUUAUUUAAUUCUGCUUGGACCUUUUAAAUACAGAAAGUUUCUAAUCCCUUGCAUCUGAAAUGCAUGAUUUAGUCAGAUAAUAUUUGCAUUUUUACUAUUGUAAUAAUGGCAAUGAGAAACUCUGUUGAAAUACAUUAAGUGUAUCACAUAUUUUCACUCAUAUGUGGGAGAUUAAAAAAAUGAACUUAAGGAGAUAGAGAGUAGCAUGAUGGUUAUCAGAGGCUGGGAAGAGAACUGGGGAGGGCGAUGAAAGGAGGUUGGUUAAGGGGCACAAAAACACAGUAGACAGAAGGAAGAAAACCUAGUGUUUGGUAGCACAAUAGGGCAGCUAUAGGUAACAAAAAUGUGUGGUGUAUUUGAAAAUAACUAAAAGAGUGGAAUUGUAAUGUCCCUACCACAAAGAAAUGAAAAAUGCUUGAGGUGAUGGAUAUCCCAAUUACCCUGCCACCAUCAUUACACAUUGUAUGCUGGUAUGAAAAUUUCACGUGUACCCCACAAAAAUGUACACCUAUUUUAUAUCCAUAAUAAUUACAAAUUUUUAAAAUGUAAAUAAAUAAAAUCCAGGUUCUUCCCAGUAAAAAUAUAGGUUAAAAAUAUUAAAGUAAAUUGUGUUCAUCACAAAAGAAGACAACAUUAAUUGGUUUGUAUAAAAGUAAAAAUGGAAGUCUCUCACCUUCUUCCUCAUUGGCCCUUCAUUGCCUCCACUCUUAAUCCCUGGCUUUCCACAGACUCACGGUCAGCACUAUCAUCAGGUUUACAUCUAUGCUUUAAGAACAUUUUAAAACUUAGAUUAUACAAAACCUGCUAUAUACUCCUUAUAACUUGAUUCAUUCACUUUAAUAUUUAUCAGGAUAGCCUGUCUUAGCUGUAUACACAGGCCAUGAAGUUUCAGUGGCUUAGCGCCACAUGUGUAUUUCUCCACUCUCUCACCAUUUGAUGGGAUUUAGCAAGGGUUCCUCCAUAUUUCUGUGAUGGCUUCUGGAACAUGUAGACUCUGAAGCCAGUGCAGAAGGGCAUAAGAAACACCUAAGAGGUACACUGGCUCUUACCCACCCCUCUGCUCCCAAGGGACACAGGUCACUUCCAAUGACACUUUACUGACUGGAACUCAUUCUAUCACUGAGGGCUUCCUACAAAGGAGGCAGAAACAACGAGGCAACCAGCUGGAUACUUGGUGAGCAUUCAGGAAGUCUGCCACUUGCACUGAACAUGUUCUAGGUGGUUCCCUGUGUUAGCAUACCUGGGCAUACCAAUAAAGAUUUUUAAUCAAAUAAAUUUUGUAUCAUAUAAAUGACAUUUAAGCAUUCUUUUUUGUCUAUAACAUCAUAAAACAUGACUCAUGAGAGCAUAUGUUUACUACAUAAAAUGAAAUAUCUAAACAACUAUCCAGAUCAUCUCAGCUCUCUAAAGAUUACCACAAGAGAAGAUCGUAGGGAUUCAAUACUCAAUUCACAUUAAUGUAAUUUAGGCAUUACAUUAAUUAGUUUCAUCUCAACAGCUGAAAGAUAUGCUUUUCCUAAAACUGCCGUGAUUCCAUAGAAAUCUGGCACAGCACUGAUUGAGAAGUAGAUUUGAAGUGGUGUUUUCAUCAGUGGCACCACACUGCUCCUGGGCGAAGUGUCAAAAAAGAUGCCUACAGUAAGCACAGGUUAUAGUUCUAGCAAUCACUGUGAAGAUAUUUUGAGAAAUGGGAUGACCUUGGAAUUGUUUUUGUAUUCCCUUCUAAAAGCUCCCUCUGAAAUUAACUGUUUGGUUCUGCUUAGUGUGGCUGACAUUGGUCAUUGCAUAUAUUGGAAUAUUAUUUUAGAUUUCAGAAAAUAUCUAAUACCACCAUUGCCUGAUCUAAGAAAGGGCCAUUGUUUUCCUUUAUAUGAUUAUCAAAUUCUUUGGCCCCCAGAGUGUUUAAAUGAACUAGGAAAAUACCUAGAAUAUGUAUUUCUUGAAUAAAUAAAAAAAGGAAAAUCACUUACAUGUUAUGAUUUGAGCGUUAGUUCGCCUAACUAUAUCUCACUCAGAGGUCUUUGUAAUACUUGUGAUUCUCAUAACUGAAUGCUUUGAGUUAAUGGAAAGUGGCACAUACAGAUGCUAUCUCUUUGAAAUAAUGCACUGAAACUUCUCAGCCAUUAACACAUUAGUUUGAAUUAGACAAUCUAUUUUUAGAAUGCAGGAAGAAUAUGACUUAAGACCAGUUUGAAUUAAUAGGCAAAGUCCAAAACUUACAGUACUACAGAAAGAAAUAAAGGUUAACAGAAUUUUUGGCAAAACUAGCAAAUUAGUGGGUUAUAUAAUAUGGAUAAAGUGGCACAGAUGGGAGCUGGAGAAACGUUGAGGAAAAAUAUGCUAUUAUAUAAUUUUAUACAGUAUUCUCAUAUUACAUUUAAUGUGAUGUUUCCACUAGAGGUCUAAAUGUGGGAAUCUAACGAACUAUAUUUAUCCAGGCAGAAUGAGGCAGAAUGACACUGGACAAUCACUGUGGGAGGAGGAAGAUGAGUUUAAAGUAAAGAUCAAAUUCUCCAGGUCUGUACCCUAAUAAGAGAUGGUGGGCCAGACGUGGUGGCUGAUGCCUGUAUUCCCAGCCCUUUGGGAGGCCGAGGCAGGCGAAUCACGAGGUCAAGAGACUGAGAUCAUCCUGGCCAACAUGGUGAAACCCGAUCUUUACAAAAAAUACAAAAAAUUAGCUGGGCUUUGUGGCACACGCCUGCAGUCCCAGCUACUUGGAGGCUGAGGCAGGAGAAUCACUUGAACCUGGGAGGCAGAGGUUGCAGUGAACCGAGAUCGUGCCACUGCACUCCAGCCUGGUGACAGAGAGAGACUCCAUCUCAAAUAAAUAAAUAAAUAAAUAAGGCCGGCCGUGGUGGCUCAUGCCUGUAAUCUCAGCACUUUGGGAGGCCGAGGCAGGUGGAUCACGAGGUCAGGAGAUGGAGACCAUCCUGGCUAACACAGUGAAACCCCGUCUCUACUAAAAAAUACAAAAAAUUAGCCGGGCGUGGUGGCGGGCGCCUGUGGUCCCAGCUACUCGGGAGGCUGAGGCAGGAGAAUGGCGUGAACCUGGGAGGCGGAGCUUGCAGUGAGCCGAGAUUGCGCCACUGCACUCCAGCCUGGGUGACAGAGCGAGAUUCUGUCUCAAAAUAAAUAAAUAAAUAAGUAAAUAAAUAAACAAAUAAAUAAAUAAAAAGAGAUGGUGCCUUCCUUGAGGUUAAAUAUAAUCUCCUUUUGUUCUUUUUAAAAAUUAAUACAUCGAUUCUAUCCCAGUGUCAUACAUUUGUCUUAGAUAGUGCUCAAUGAAUAUAUGUCAAAAGAAUUAAAAAAUAAAUGAGGAAACAGAAGAAGAAAGAAAAAAAGAAGAUGGUCUGCUUCUAUAGCUCACAUUUAACACUGUAUUUCACUAAGAAACCCAACAUAGAGAAGACGUGUGAUGCGUCAUGUAGGCUAACUGGUGUAUUUUGAUUCAAUAUACCCUCAAAAUAAGUUCAUAAGUGAGCUUCAUGAAUGAGAUAUAGACCUCUGAAGACCUGAUACUUUACCAACAUUAACUGAAUUUUUAUGCAGUGGUGAUGAUACCAAGGCAAGGCACCCUGAGUACCUAUGUGUGGAUCUCAGAGAUUAACGGUAUAGACCCUGGUCGGUCCCCCUAAGUUUAAACCAUAGCUCCAUUAUUAACCAUCUAAAUAAACCUAGCCCAGCUAAGAAAUUUUCUCAUUUGUUAAUUAAAAUGAAAUGAGUGUCUACCCUCAAAGGUAAUGUUAAAGAUUUAAUUAAACUAUGCAAUGCCCUUGUCUAUUGAUAUCAAUGGAAAUUUAAUUAAAACAUGCAAUUGUUGUUAUAAAUGGAUUGAAAUAAAAUGAUUAUUUCCCACAUCCAUUUUUUUAAAAUGGAAAAACACUUUUACUUAAGUUGUUCAUUUCUAGGCAGUAAAAACAUGGGAAUUUGUUAUAUUUACUCACAAGAUACAGAUAUCAAUCUUCCACAUUUUUCUUUCCUACAAAAGAUAUCGUGGCUUAUGUUUAUUGUUUAUCUCAUUCCCAC